ensembl:lncRNA
ACUGACAGCAAUGUAAGGAGGGGUCCUGAGCAGGACUGAGUCAGGGCAGGGGACGUCCCAAGCGCCCCCAGGCCUCCCAAACUUCCUGUCCCCCAGGACUCACAGCAGAAGCCGCCUCUGCCAGAUGCUGGGGACCCCCAAAGCAUGCAGUCCAUGAACCAACUCCUGGACAAGCUGGCCAAGGAAAACCAGGAGAUCCGGCUCAUGCAGGCGGAGCUGCAGACACACAAGGAUGAGCUGCGGGCGCUGCUGCAGAGGAGCGAGGGCCAGGCAGCUGCAGCGGGGGCGCAGCAGCAGGGCCUGGCCAAGGAGAACGCGCGGCUGCGCGCGGCACUGGAGCGGGAGGUCAGUGCGCUGCAGGACGCCCGGGCUGAGCUGCAGCGCCUGCAGGCCACGGGGACACCGAGCAGCCCCAGGGGGCCAGCAGCAGAGCGGCCCCAUGCCACAGGUGUCCCAGCGCACGGCAAGGCCACGGCACGAUGGCACGGUGAGCUGGAUGUGCUGCGGCGGGAGCUGGCGGACACC